AGGGCACCACCAGGAGUGGAGCCUGCGGCUUAAUUUGACUCAACACGGGAAAACUUACCUGGUCAGGACACUGGAAGGAUUGACAGAUUGAGAGCUCUUUCUUGAUUCAGUAGGUGGUGGUGCAUGGCCGUUCUUAGUUGGUGGAGCGAUUUGUCUGGUUAAUUCCGAUAACGAACGAGACUCUAGCCUACUAAAUAGACUGCUCAACUUUAUAGCUGCAUCACCUUGCAGUGGCUCCGGUUGCUGUAAGGCUGUGGUGACGUUGGCAGUGCUUCUUAGAGGGACAGGCGGCGGUUCAGCCGCACGAAACAGAGCAAUAACAGGUCUGUGAUGCCCUUAGAUGUCCAGGGCCUCACGCGCGCUACACUGAAGUGAUCAGCGUGCAAUUAACGUUUCCUACUCCGUCAGGAGUGGGUAACCCGUUGAACCUUCUUCGUGAUUGGGAUAGGGGAUUGUAAUUAUUCCCCUUGAACGAGGGAAUUCCCAGUAAGCGCAAGUCAUAAAGCUUGCGUUGAUUAC
rnacentral:rRNA from 1 species